rnacentral:pre_miRNA from 1 species
UGUUAUGGAUGAGCAAAGAAAGUAGUUUCCUAAGGUGGAAUCUGCUCGUGGUGAAGAUGCUGAGAA